rnacentral:rRNA from 1 species
GACGAACGCUGGCGGCGUGCUUAACACAUGCAAGUCGAACGCACGGCCUUGGGGUUUUCUUGGGGUUGGUGAGUGGCGAACGGGUGAGUAACACGUGAGUAACCUGCCCCCUUCUUUGGGAUAACGUCUGGAAACGGACGCUAAUACCGCAUGACAUACGGACAUGGCAUCAUGAUCGUAUCAAAGGAGCAAUCCGCUUUAAGAUGGACUCGCGUCCAAUUAGCUAGUUGGUGAGGUAACGGCCCACCAAGGCGACGAUUGGUAGCCGGACUGAGAGGUUGAACGGCCACAUUGGGACUGAGACACGGCCCAG